UUUGUGUUUUGUGGCCUGCACCUCGAGUGUGACCCACAAACAGCGUAAGAGCCAGCCGCCGCAGGGAGUAUUCGCCUGCGGAAGAACCCUGUUAGCUUAC
rfam:Meiothermus ruber DSM 1279 genome.